AUCACCUGGGGAUCUUGUUAAAAUGCAGGCUGUAGUUCAGGAGGUACUGGAUGGGGCCUGAGAGUCUGCAUUUCUAACAAGUUCCCCAGUGAUGCUGU
rnacentral:pre_miRNA from 1 species